UACAGAGGUCCCGAGCGUUGUUCGGAUUCACUGGGCGUAAAGGGUGCGUAGGCGGUUCUGAAAGUCUGAUGUGAAACCUCCAGGCCCAACCUGGAAAUGGCAUUAGAAACUACAGAGCUAGAGGCUUGGAGGGGGAACUGGAAUUCUCGGUGUAGCAGUGAAAUGCGUAGAGAUCGAGAGGAACACCAGUGGCGAAGGCGAGUUCCUGGACAAGUCCUGACGCUGAGGCACGAAAGCCAGGGGAGCAAACAGG
rnacentral:rRNA from 1 species